GGGCGGUUAGCUCAGUUGGUAGAGCGCGUACUUGACGUGUAUGAGGCCAUAGGUUCGAGUCCUAUACCGCCCACCA
rnacentral:tRNA from 1 species